rnacentral:rRNA from 1 species
GUUGCCUACGGGACGCAGCAGUGAGGAAUAUUGGUCAAUGGGCGCGAGCCUGAACCAGCCAAGUCGCGUGAGGGAAGACGGUCCUAUGGAUUGUAAACCUCUUUUGUCGGGGAGCAAAAGACGCCACGUGUGGCGUUCCGAGAGUACCCGAAGAAAAAGCAUCGGCUAACUCCGUGCCAGCAGCCGCGGUAAUACGGAGGAUGCGAGCGUUAUCCGGAUUUAUUGGGUUUAAAGGGUGCGCAGGCGGAAGAUCAAGUCAGCGGUAAAAAUGCGGUGCUCAACGCCGUCGAGCCGUUGAAACUGGG